rnacentral:lncRNA from 1 species
GGGAAGCACUCCACACCCUCACCCAGGUCCUGUAUCCCUGCAAGACUGCGUUGGAAAGACUGAAGAGGCUGGAGUGCAGUGGCGCAAUCUUGGCUCACAGGAACCUCCGCCUCCCAGGUUCAAGAGAUUCUCAUGCCUCAGCCUCGCGAGUAGCUGGAAUUACAGGAAGCUAAAGAAUGAUGCGCUCCACCACAAUGAGGGACUAAACAACAAAAAGGAGGCAUGAGAUUCAGGAAGCAAAAAAGGAAUUCAUCAUAUGAAGGAAUGAAGAUGUUCAAAAGAAAACCUUCAACCUCAUGCCAGAAGAUGUUCCCAGCUGUAUAAAUGCCUAACUCAGCUUCUAGUCCUUGGAAAUUAAGCAGCUCAUUGAAAAUUCAAGAGUUCCAGCCAGAAGCUACAGCUAGGCUCAGAUGUUGAAAUCAGUCUCUCCUGCUGAUCAAACUGUGACAUAGCCAAAGCAAUAGGCCUGGCUUUUCAGUUAAUUCUCAGCGAGCCCUUCCUUUCCCUCUGUAGUGGUUGGUGUGGCAUUUAUAAUAUAACUCCUUUAUGUACACUGUAA